rnacentral:lncRNA from 1 species
CCCAAACAGGUGUUGAGUACUUCAUAUCUAAUCCUCCCCACCUCCACUCCCAGCAGCCCUAAGGCGACUGGUCCAGGCCUCUUCCCCAGCUAUUCGCAUGUGACUUCCAUCCUCGUGGUUUGCAAGAUGGUUGCUGUAACUCCAAGAGUUGUGAACACGCUCCGGACAGAAGAAGGAGGGAGGAGGAAAGAAGGAGAAGAGCCAGUAUUGGGAAAAUGGAAGCUUUCCUCAGAAAUCCCCCAUGGACUUCCGCUUCUGUCUCAUUGGCCAGAACGGGGUCAUGUGACGACUGGCUGUGAAGAGGUCUGGGAAGGUUCAUGUUUUCAGCUGAGUAUAUUGUAGGGCUGAACAAAAUUGGGGUUUUGUGGUGAGAAGGAAGUAGAGAUUAGAAUGGGGGAAUAACUAGCCGUUCUGGCAUGUGUCACGGUCUACUUCUUUAUUUCUUCUAACUUUAGAACCAGACAAAUAGGUGAAUAAA